CCUACGGGAGACAGCAGUGAGGAAUAUUGGUCAAUGGGCGCGAGCCUGAACCAGCCAAGUCGCGUGAGGGAAGACGGUCCUAUGGAUUGUAAACCUCUUUUGUCGGGGAGCAAAAGACGCCACGCGUGGCGUUCCGAGAGUACCCGAAGAAAAAGCAUCGGCUAACUCCGUGCCAGCAGCCGCGGUAAUACGGAGGAUGCGAGCGUUAUCCGGAUUUAUUGGGUUUAAAGGGUGCGCAGGCGGAAGAUCAAGUCAGCGGUAAAAUUGAGAGGCUCAACCUCUUCGAGCCGUUGAAACUGGUGUUCUUGAGUGAGUGAGAGGUAUGCGGAAUGCGUGGUGUAGCGGUGAAAUGCAUAGAUAUCACGCAGAACUCCGAUUGCGAAGGCAGCAUACCGGCGCUCAACUGACGCUCAUGCACGAAAGUGUGGGUAUCGAACAGGAUUAGAUACCCUUGUAGUC
rnacentral:rRNA from 1 species